rnacentral:rRNA from 1 species
GACGAAGGAUCCAAGCGUUAUCCGGAUUCAUUGGGUUUAAAGGGUGCGUAGGCGGGUUAAUAAGUCAGUGGUGAAAUCCUAUCGCUUAACGAUGGAACUGCCAUUGAUACUGUUAGCCUAGAGUACAGAUGAUGUUGGCGGAAUAUGACAUGUAGCGGUGAAAUGCAUAGAUAUGUCAUAGAACACCGAUUGCGAAGGCAGCUGACAAAACUGUAACUGACGCUGAUGCACGAAAGUGCGGGGAUCAAACAGG